AUUGAACGCUGGCGGAAUGCUUUACACAUGCAAGUCGAACGGCAGCACGGACUUCGGUCUGGUGGCGAGUGGCGAACGGGUGAGUAAUACAUCGGAACGUGCCCAGUCGUGGGGGAUAACGUAGCGAAAGCUACGCUAAUACCGCAUACGAUCUAAGGAUGAAAGCGGGGGAUCGCAAGACCUCGCGCGAUUGGAGCGGCCGAUGGCAGAUUAGGUAGUUGGUAGGGUAAAGGCCUACCAAGCCGACGAUCUGUAGCUGGUCUGAGAGGAUGAUCAGCCACACCGGGACUGAGACACGGCCCAGACUCCUACGGGAGGCAGCAGUGGGGAAUUUUGGACAAUGGGCGCAAGCCUGAUCCAGCCAUUCCGCGUGCAGGAUGAAGGCCUUCGGGUUGUAAACUGCUUUUGUACAGAACGAAAAGGCUCUGGUUAAUACCCGGGGCUCAUGACGGUACUGUAAGAAUAAGCACCGGCUAACUACGUGCCAGCAGCCGCCGCAG
rnacentral:rRNA from 1 species